UCUGGUGGGUAUAGCUACGAGGAAACACCCGUUCCCAUUCCGAAUACGGCAGUUAAGCUCGUAAGCGCUCAAGAUACUUGGCUGGUAACGGCCUGGAAAAAUAGGUACUGCCAGAU
rnacentral:rRNA from 1 species